rnacentral:lncRNA from 1 species
AGUCUUGAUGCUCAAGGUUUCCACCUGCAGUGCCAGAGCAGACAUCAUCUUGUUAUGUUUACUUUCCAGCACAGAUGAUCCAGCAAUCUGCGUCAGCACUUGACUUAAUUGCAAGAUGAAUCAGCCCUGCCAUUCUCAAGUCACCAGCUAAAGACUGCUAUGAAACUACAACAGAGGAACUUGGUUUAGCAUUUGGAAAUGUGGCCUACGAUAAGUUAAUGCAGUAAACAAAUUUAAAAUUAAACUUUUAUCUCAUUAAUCAACACUGAUAAAGUAGAAUGGAAUCUGAAUAAACAGAUUUAGAUUUCUC